rnacentral:tRNA from 1 species
UAUAACUCAGUGGCAAAGUGCUUGCCUAACAAGCAAGUACAACAUCCUGGGUUUGAUCCUCAGUA